rnacentral:rRNA from 1 species
UAGCGAAGGGGGCUAGCGUUGCUCGGAAUCACUGGGGCGUAAAGGGUGCGUAGGCGGGUCUUUUAAGUCAGGGGUGAAAUCCUGGAGCUCAACUCCAGAACUGCCUUUGAUACUGAGGAUCUUGAGUUCGGGAGAGGUGAGUGGAACUGCGAGUGUAGAGGUGAAAUUCGUAGAUAUUCGCAAGAACACCAGUGGCGAAGGCGGCUCACUGGCCCGAUACUGACGCUGAGGCACGAAAGCGUGGGGAGCAAACAGG